rnacentral:rRNA from 1 species
GACGAACCGUGCGAACGUUGUUCGGAAUCACUGGGCAUAAAGGGCGCGUAGGCGGCUUAUCAAGUCAGGGGUGAAAUCCGGCAGCUCAACUGUCGAAGUGCCUUUGAUACUGAUGAGCUAGAGGGAGAUAGGGGUAUGCGGAACUUCCGGUGGAGCGGUGAAAUGCGUUGAUAUCGGAAGGAACGCCGGUGGCGAAAGCGGCGUACUGGAUCUCUUCUGACGCUGAGGCGCGAAAGCUAGGGGAGCAAACGGGAUUAGAUACCCCGGUAGUCCUAGCCCUAAACGUUGGGUACUAGAUAGUGGACUUACAUGGGUUCACUGUCGAAGCAAAUGUGUUAAGUACCCCGCCUGGGGAGUAUGGUCGCAAGGCUGAA